rnacentral:lncRNA from 1 species
UCUUCUAUGCCAGGUGCUUGUUCAGCUGCUUGUUCCAGCCUGUAGAAGAGCCUGAACACAAAUUGGCAGAAUCUAUGCAGCAAGGCUCUGAAAAUCAUCUCCAGUGAUCCAGAAAGCCUCAUAGCAAGCAGAAGUAGUCCUGCUCCUUGUCACUGUGAUUAUGGAGAUGCAGGAAGCAGGUAUGCAUGUGUGGCAUGGCCUAACAAAGGAAGUGUGCCUUGUUUGUUAACUAACUGAGCAUGUCCCUUCCCUGCCCUGACAAUAAUUCCUCCUCUCAGGUUUUCACAGGGAAACUGCCACAGUGCUUAAGAUGCACCAUGAAGAAUAACAACGUGCUUUUUCUGUGUCUUGGACACCUAUUUUAUUUGUAGAAGGGCACUGAGCACAGUUCAGCAGCUUCCCAGGCCUGGGUAACUGUACACUUUUAAAAAUUUGUGGAAAAUAUCACAAUCCCUUUCUGUAGUACCCUCUAACCUAGCUGUAUUUGGUCUCUUUGUGUCUUAUCCAUAAUGCACUUUAUAAAAAGAAGAAGAAAGAGCAACAAAUGUGAGACUUUGAAAGCUGGUAAGAAAUAAAACUUCCAUGGCUAUUCUUAAGAGAAAACUGACAAUGCUUUUGGGCCAAAGUCUGGAAAAAAUGAAGUUAAUUGAAAGCAUUUGUUCAUCCUUCAUGCCAGACUUUCAGACUCUGUGAUGUGACUGACUGAUGUGGCUGCUGUGCAUGGAGCUGCUUGGGAGGAUCACCAGAAGGCUUUGAGGAAAGCUUCAGAAAUGAUGGACCAGACAUGGAGGAGAAACCUUCUGCAAACCUUUCCACCCCAAAGGCAUCAUUUCAAACAGUCACAUGUAUGGAGGGAGAAAAUUACAGAGAUCCAUGCAGCUACCUGCAUACUGUCCUGAAUACUACAAAAGCUGCAGUUAAAAGUAGAAGCCAAACUUCCUCUGCAUUUACAGCAGAACACAUUAAGGAAUCAGUACAGACACGGUUACAGGAGGAGGGAGAAGGUUUCUGUGGCUCAGCAGGAAGGUAUUAA